GACGAACGCUGGCGGCGUGCUUAACACAUGCAAGUCGAACGGAAAGGCCCUGCUUUUGUGGGGUGCUCGAGUGGCGAACGGGUGAGUAACACGUGAGUAACCUGCCCUUGACUUUGGGAUAACUUCAGGAAACUGGGGCUAAUACCGGAUAGGAGCUCCUGCUGCAUGGUGGGGGUUGGAAAGUUUCGGCGGUUGGGGAUGGACUCGCGGCUUAUCAGCUUGUUGGUGGGGUAGUGGCUUACCAAGGCUUUGACGGGUAGCCGGCCUGAGAGGGUGACCGGCCACAUUGGGACUGAGAUACGGCCCGGACUCCUACGGGAGGCAGCAGUGGGGAAUAUUGCACAAUGGGCGGAAGCCUGAUGCAGCAACGCCGCGUGCGGGAUGACGGCCUUCGGGUUGUAAACCGCUUUCGCCUGCGACGAAGCGUGAGUGACGGUAAUGGGUAAAGAAGCACCGGCUAACUACGUG
rnacentral:rRNA from 1 species